rnacentral:lncRNA from 1 species
CUCUGCUGCCCCAGGAAUGGGCUGAUUUCCUGAGUACACAUUAAUCUGAGCUCCCUCAGCCCUAGGGGUAGGGGGAUUGGGGGCACAAGAUGGGUGGAGCCAGAUAGGGAAGAUUCCCCCAGUGUUGUCCUGCUCCCAGUCCAGGUUUGGGACAAUGCCGGCAGCGUUUCCCUGUGUCUUUCCCCCACAAAGUCUCCAAGUCUUUCCUCAAAUGAUCGUCAAGGUUUGGGAGAAACAAUCUCUUCCUCUGCCCGGGUUGCGUGGAUCUCCAGUGGAAAGAUACUGCAUGACAUUGAAACAGCCGGUGUAUUAACUAAUGUAUAUGACAGUCCACCUCUGUAUGAUGAUGUGAAAGUGCAAUUUUUCUCUUCAGCUUUAUCUACCAAGAAAUGAAUUGGAUAAUCCACAUAAACAAAAAGCUUGGAAAAUUUAUCCACCAGAAUUUGCCGUGGAGAUACUUUUUGGUAUGGUUUCUGUGGAUUCUCUGCUCUUUGUGCUCUCCUCCCCACAUUGGUGGCUCCAUCUGGCACAGGGAAGCUUCUGGAUGUCAGAAGGUGGAUUCUCACUCUGUCACCCAGGCUGGAGUGUAGUGGCACAAUCUUUGCUCACUUCAACCUCUGCCUUCUGCGUUCGAGCAAUUCUCCUGCCUCAGCCUCCCGAGUAACUGGGAUUACAGGCAUGUACCACCACAUCUGGCUAAUUUUUGUAUUUUUAGUAGAGACGAGGUUUCACCAUAUUGGCCAGGCUGGUCUUGAACUCCUGACCUCAAGUGGUCCACCUGCCUCGGCCUUCCAAAGUGCUGAGAUUACAGGCUUGAGCAACCUUGCCCAGCCAAAAGUAAACUUUUUAAUUCUAUCACAA